GUCAUCGCGGUGGUAGCUAGCUAGCAGACGCUGUGUUUUUGAUGCUGUCGAGUGCAGCGUUGGCACGCCGCUCUCUCUGUCCCUCCAGUUUGUGGUUGAGCCAUCGUACGGGAAAGGUAGGCGUCCUUCUCGGUUGAUUCAUUGCUCUUUUGGUGCAUUGUAAUGUACUUAGUUUGUUGGUUACUGACGCCAUUUAACUUAAUCGCAGCCCUGUCCAUCCGCAACUGGCGUGAACCCAGCUGGCAGUCGGCUACUGUUCUGGAGCUUGUAUGCCGAGCUCGGCAAACUCGAGGUAAAGUUGCGGUCCGUACGUUUCUCUCAUGUGUUAUGCGAACGUAGUCUCUGUUGUGACUGAUGUAAUGUUACUCUAUCGCAGUAUCACUGGUGGCGUGCUUCCACUUCGUGCCCUUUGUGGUUGACUACUUGCGUGCCGCUUCGAGAGAACCAAAGGUAAUGUCGUGUUUUCUCUGUCGGCAUGUGCCUGAAUCUGGCAUUUUUUUAUUUAGCGUUUAUUGAUUUGACUUGCAUGUGCCACAGUUUCCUUGAUGCACGGUACCCAGCUGGAACCCGGCGUGACCCAUAUCCCGACUUGCGCUUGGCAGACCUGAUCUGGAGGAGGAGUUGGUGCCUUCGACUACACUGAUGCAGUAUCACUAGAGAAGGGGGGCAUUACUGUUCUUUUCCCAACCUUUUGUUUUGUUUUUGUCCUAUUGUGAAAGUGAUUUAUCCUAUGCAGCCUUUCACUUUGUAACGUCCGAGACGAAGGGGCUCGUGUAAGUUUCACUCUAACAUCCAAGACGAAGGGGCUUGUGUAAUUUUCACUCUAACAUCCAAGACGAAGGGGCUUGUGUAAUUUUCACUCUAACAUCCGAGACGAAGGGGCUCGUGUACGUUUCUACUUAGUAACUGCCAAGACGGAGCUUGUGUAUAUGAUUAGGGUAUGAACACUGAAGUAUUACUGGGAGACGCAUCUUAAACCCCAGACUCCUUUUUGGAACCUGUACUUGCUGUAGGGAGAGACCAAAUACGUGUGUCUAACAAGUGUGUGUGUGUGUGUGUGCGGUGGCCAUUACCAAUUUUGCCCUUUUGGCAGUUUUGUUUUCUUUUGUUAUCAGUGUGGGAAUUUUGUGUUAUUUUGGUUUGUUAUUUUUUUAUUUUGAUUUACUAACUCUGUUUGCAGUGCAAUUUUUUGUUUGGUCUACCUCUCGUGCAACUAGCACAUUUGCACAAUUUUGUAUUGAGAUGACGUGCCUUUAAAUAUUGUGAAAAGUUCAUAUUCUAUUUUUAUAUUGUACUGAGCCCAUGAGGCAUAUUUGACACAGAGACUCAUUACGAGAAAGAAAAUAAAAAGAACUCUGAAUUGUA